rnacentral:rRNA from 1 species
CGACGGAUCAGGAGAGCUUGCUUUUCUGGUUAGUGGCGAACGGGUGAGUAACACGUGAGUAACCUGCCCUUCACUCUGGGAUAACUCCGGGAAACCGGGGCUAAUACUGGAUAUGACCCGAACAGGCAUCUGUAUCGGGUGGAAAGAUUUAUUGGUGGGGGAUGGACUCGCGGCCUAUCAGCUUGUUGGUGAGGUAAUGGCUUACCAAGGCGACGACGGGUAGCCGGCCUGAGAGGGCGAUCGGCCACACUGGGACUGAGACACGGCCCAGACUCCUACGGGAGGCAGCAGUGGGGAAUAUUGCACAAUGGGCGAAAGCCUGAUGCAGCGACGCCGCGUGAGGGAUGAAGGCCUUCGGGUUGUAAACCUCUUUCAGCAGGGAAGAAGUGGCCGGGUUUUCUCGGUUGUGACGGUACCUGCAGAAGAAGCACCGGCUAACUACGUGCCAGCAGCCGCGGUAAUACGUAGGGUGCGAGCGUUGUCCGGAAUUAUUGGGCGUAAAGAGCUUGUAGGCGGUUUGUCGCGUCUGCUGUGAAAUUUCGGGGCUCAACCCCGAACUUGCAGUGGGUACGGGCAGACUAGAGUGUGGUAGGGGAGACUGGAAUUCCUGGUGUAGCGGUGAAAUGCGCAGAUAUCAGGAGGAACACCGAUGGCGAAGGCAGGUCUCUGGGCCACUACUGACGCUGAGAAGCGAAAGCAUGGGGAGCGAACAGGAUUAGAUACCCUGGUAGUCCAUGCCGUANACGUUGGGAACUAGGUGUGGGUCNCAUUCCACGAGAUCCGUGCCGCAGCUAACGCAUUAAGUUCCCCGCCUGGGGAG